rnacentral:rRNA from 1 species
AUGCACGCUGGCGGCGUGCUUCACCCAUGCCAGUCGCACGAAGCACUUUAUUUGAUUUCCUUCGGGACUGAUUAUUUUGUGACUGAGUGGCGGACGGGUGAGUAACGCGUGGGUAACCUGCCUUGUACAGGGGGAUAACAGUUGGAAACGGCUGCUAAUACCGCAUAAGCGCACGGCAUCGCAUGAUGCAGUGUGAAAAACUCCGGUGGUAUAAGAUGGACCCGCGUUGGAUUAGCUAGUUGGUGAGGUAACGGCCCACCAAGGCGACGAUCCAUAGCCGACCUGAGAGGGUGACCGGCCACAUUGGGACUGAGACACGGCCCAAACUCCUACGGGAGGCAGCAGUGGGGAAUAUUGCACAAUGGGCGAAAGCCUGAUGCAGCGACGCCGCGUGAGCGAAGAAGUAUUUCGGUAUGUAAAGCUCUAUCAGCAGGGAAGAUAAUGACGGUACCUGACUAAGAAGCACCGGCUAAAUACGUG